AUUGAACGUUGGCGGAAUGCUUUACACAUGCAAGUCGAACGGCAGCACGGACUUCGGUCUGGUGGCGAGUGGCGAACGGGUGAGUAAUACAUCGGAACGUGCCCAGUCGUGGGGGAUAACGUAGCGAGAGCUACGCUAAUACCGCAUACGAUCUAAGGAUGAAAGCGGGGGAUCGCAAGACCUCGCGCGAUUGGAGCGGCCGAUGGCAGAUUAGGUAGUUGGUAGGGUAAAGGCCUACCAAGCCGACGAUCUGUAGCUGGUCUGAGAGGAUGAUCAGCCACACUGGGACUGAGACACGGCCCAGACUCCUACGGGAGGCAGCAGUGGGGAAUUUUGGACAAUGGGCGCAAGCCUGAUCCAGCCAUUCCGCGUGCAGGAUGAAGGCCUUCGGGUUGUAAACUGCUUUUGUACAGAACGAAAAGGCUCUGGUUAAUACCCGGGGCUCAUGACGGUACUGUAAGAAUAAGCACCGGCUAACUACGUGCCAGCCGCCGCGGUAA
rnacentral:rRNA from 1 species